UCUACUUCCUCUUCCAAAAACAAACCCAAAAUAAACCCAGCUCUUUCUCAUCUCUAGACCUUCGACGAGCUGAACAAUUGAAAAUGAACAAAAACCCCAAACUCCAACCGUGAACAACUACAAGAAGAAGAAGAAGAGCCCCAAAAUGACGAAGAUGCCCCUUUUCUCUCUACCUUCUUCUUCACACCCAAAUUAAUCACCAUAACUACCACUGAGCUCUCUCUCCAUACCCAACCACCAAUCCCAUUGCAAUCAACACCAAGCCUAAAUGCCUUCAUAUCUUCAUGAAAUUACCAUUUACAUUCUCAGGAAACCCACUUCAUCACUUUAGAUUUACUAGGCCUGAUCUGGAAAUACAUAGUGGAGCAUGAACAACUCUUUCAUUCUUACGAUACUCUGCUCGUCAGCUAACUUCGGCGGCUAAAAACUCCAUCUUCUGUCGCUCAGAUAGUCACGACUUCUACAUAAAAGUUGUUCAAAAUCGAGUCUUCUACACUGUAUUCAAAUUUCAUGAAAAUCCAACGGUUGAAUCUUCCAAAAUCAAGGUUGUAGCCAUCAAGGAGAGAGAGAGGCAAAAGGAGAACAUAUGCAAUCUAGGUACCUCGCCCCGCCCAGCCCAACACCAACGCCGCCCAAGCCGCCCAGCACCGCCGAAACCCGCCUAUCUGUUCUGGGUAUUUGAGUUUUUGGUAAGGUUUUGCUGAGUGAAGUGUUUUGAUUCAAAAUCUCAUUUGGGUAUUUGAGUUUUUGUGAGGUUUUCUAUCAAGAUCGAAUUUUUGGGUUUAUGUUAGUUUUGGGGCACACAUUUUGAUUGGAAUUGGGUUUGGUGUGGUUUGGAAUGAAGAAAGUGAUGGAACUGUACUCGAUUGAGCUCACCAAGUUGUGAAUCGAAAAAAUUGAAUUGAAUUAGGUGAGGUUGGUAUUUGGUAUUUGUGAUUAUAUGGAAAGUGUUGAUGUAAUGAAAGUUGCAUACUUGCAUGCAAGUAAUUAUAGUUCUUAAUCAUCAGACAUGGUUUUGUAGCAGUUAACGAAAUUCGGGAUCUAGUGAUGAUUCUGGUCAUGGGUAUGCAUAUUCUCGGUCUAGCGAGAAGAUGAUGGAGGAUGAGAGCUUCCGGAUAAUAGAGGGACUUUAACCAGACGGAGAUAAACAGAGGAGGGGAGAGAUGUGGAAGAAGAAGAGGCAAAAAGAAAAAAAAGAAUAAAAUUAAUUUAAAAAAAAGAGUAAGGGAGGGUAUAAUAGACUUUUCAGGGGGGAAAACAACCGCCACGUCAGCAAGAUAACGGAGUUGUUGACGGAUGCUUGACGACAGGGACCAAUUGGGAGGAAAUUGGGAGUUUAGAGACUUUUUAGGUGAAAUUCAAAGGUCAGGGACUGAAAUGAUGAAACUCUAUAAGUAUAGGGAGUAAAUAGUAUUUAACUCAAUUAAAAAACUGAAAAAGAAAAAACAAAAGUAUGGGCUUGGAAUUUUGUUCCCGAUUCGAUUCGUGGAGAAGCCCAGCAAUAUUUAAUCAGUUGUAGCAAAUUGUAAAAUUACAACAGAAAAUCAAUAUCAGUUGGCUC